AGGAGAGGGACGUUGUCAGUCACAGUCAGUGUCAACUGUCAAGUGACAAAAUUAUCUUUUAAUCUUGACUCUUAGAGUGGGUAUGGUGAAGGGCGAGUUUUCCUUCUCCUUUCAUAUGUUCCAUUUGACGUAUAACGGUAUGAAAAAACAAAACACCCUCAUUAUGUGGCAAUAAUGGGAAACAAUAAAUAAAGAAAGAAAUAAUAACGGUUUUAGAUUUCCAGUGUAGGUUGUGUUGCGGAGAGUGAUGGACUGACAGUUGACUGAUAAAUUGACCCCUUGGAGAUACAUGCACAUUGACAUGGGUCGGGCGAGAUGUCAGCAACAACUCCUAUUAUUUUUCCUUUGGGUGUACGAUAAUAUUAGGCAAAAUACGAUAAUUCUGGUGGUUCGAUACGACAAUGUGGGCUAGAAAAGUUAACAUCACUGGUGUUGUGGCGCUGGCGGCUGCCCGACCCAGUACACCCUUGGCCUCGCGCCGGAAAGGACACAUGAUGCGGGAGGGGGCGCUUGUGGGGGCCAGUAAAGCAAUGCACAGACCGCACUGGUUUACUGUAGGGCAAGUAAUGUGAAACAAGUGAAUAAAUAAACAAAUAAUAGUAAGUUAUCUUGAUUUGGGUGAGUCAUGUAAGUGACAUGUGACUUGUGUGUUUGCCCUGUUCAUUUUCAGUUUAGUUGAGAUCAAAUUUUUCAUUCUCGACUAUUCCUGUCUUUAGCAAUACAAUAACUUAACUGCAA